rnacentral:misc_RNA from 1 species
GAAAUAGUCACAUUGCAUGGAGUCUCUGCUUUCAUAAUAUCUUACAGGAGGCCCUAGUUCACUUCUCGAUUAUAGAGAAAGCUGCAGGAGGCACUUGGCACUAGUGAGGGACACAUCGGUUGAAAUUGUCAGUGUGAAAAGCGUACCUAUUGUCAAGGAAUUUGUGGAUGUAUUUCUAAGGAGCUUCCAAGGUUGCCGCUAGAGAGGGAGAAGCAAGGAGAGUG